rnacentral:rRNA from 1 species
AACGAACGCUGGCGGCAUGCCUAACACAUGCAAGUCGAACGAGACCUUCGGGUCUAGUGGCGCACGGGUGCGUAACGCGUGGGAACCUGCCCUUAGGUUCGGAAUAACUCCCCGAAAGGGGUGCUAAUACCGGAUAAUGUCUUCGGACCAAAGAUUUAUCGCCUUUGGAUGGGCCCGCGUUGGAUUAGCUAGUUGGUAGGGUAAAAGCCUACCAAGGCGACGAUCCAUAGCUGGUCUGAGAGGAUGAUCAGCCACACUGGGACUGAGACACGGCCCAGACUCCUACGGGAGGCAGCAGUGGGGAAUAUUGGACAGUGGGCGAAAGGCUGAUCCAGCAAUGCCGGGUGAGUGAUGAAGGCCUUAGGGUUGUAAAGCUCGUUUACCCGGGAUGAUAAUGACAGUACCGGAAGAAUAAGCACCGGCUAACUCCGUG